ACGAACGCUGGCGGCGUGCUUAACACAUGCAAGUCGCACGGGCCCGCUCUCUUUUUUGGGGGUGGGUUGAGUGGCGAACGGGUGAGUAUCACGUGAGUAACCUGCCCCCUGCUCCUGGAUAACUGCUUGAAAGGGCGGCUAAUACGGGGUGUGCCGGCUGGUCCGCAUGGGCCUGGUCGGGAUAGUUUCAUCUUCGGGUGUUUCGGUGGGGGAUGGGCUCGCGGCCUAUCAGCUUGUUGGUGGGGUGAUGGCCCACCAAGGCGGUGACGGGUAGCCGGCCUGAGAGGGUGGGCGGCCACACUGGGACUGAGACACGGCCCAGACUCCUGCGGGAGGCAGCAGUGGGGGGUAUUGCACAAUGGGCGGAAGCCUGAUGCAGCGACGUCGCGUGAGGGAUGGAGGCCUUCGGGUUGUGAACCUCUUUCUCCGGUGGUGAAGGCCCUGUCCGUUGCGGCGGGGUUGACGGUAGCCGGGUAUGAAGCGCCGGCUAACUACGUG
rnacentral:rRNA from 1 species